rnacentral:SRP_RNA from 1 species
GCGGGGCGCAGUGGCAUGUGCCUGUAGUCCCAGCUACUCGGGAGGCUGAGGUGGGAGGAUCGCUUGAGCCCAGGAGUUCUGGGCUGUAGUGCGCUAUGCCAAUCGGGUGUCCACACUAAGUUUGGCAUCAAUAUGGUGACCUCCCGCAAGCAGGAGACCACCAGGUUGCCUAAGGAGAGGUGAACCGGCCCAGGUCAGAAACGGAGCAGGUCAAAACUCCCGUGCUGAUCAGUAGUGGGAUCACGCCUGUGAAUAGCCACUGCACUCCAGCCUGGGCAAUGUAGCGAGACCCCAUCUCU